AAAAGGAAAGGAAAGUUGUUGGCUAUGCUCUAAACUGAACUUUCCCAAUUUGGUGUAGUACAAUGCUGCUGAAGAAGUUCAGCGUUAGCUGGUCAGAGUGAGCACACGUCAUUUGGAAACGACGAGCACAACAAAACAGACGAAGAAACAUCGUGUUUGAACUUUGAACACACAGAUUACACAGGAAGUUCAGAAGAACUUAAAAAGACAAAGACAGAAACAUGAACAUACACACGCGUACCGUACAUGAUUUACAGAACACACAAAACGUGUGAAACUUACACGAACACUUCUGGAACACAAGCCCCAAAUACAUACACGAACGAUAAAAGCAGCUAAGCCCCAGAUGAACCCAAACACCAGUCAGUGUACACCUGAACCAGCCAGGCGACUUAUUCCAGCGAUCCCACGAACUGAUCACACGCUGCUGCACUUCACAUCACAUUCGUGUUGGUCCUCGGAGCCUCGCCGUGAAGCACCGGCCCCUCCGCCGCGACGCCCUCCCCGAUGUUCCCCUCUGCAGCAACAAGAACAAGAACCCGUCGUCAGCUCCGCUGCGAACGCCGAAAAUUUGUUUGCCGUUAUAUAAGGGUGAUGGGGCGGGUGGUGCGUACCUGUGGUGGGCUGCACGGUCUCCGAGACGCGGUUCCCGCCGGUGAGCGACGUGACAGCGCCGCGCGCCCUGGUCACCGCCUGUGCCGGCACCUCUCGCGCCUUGGCCACCGUGCUCCCGACCCCCUCCUUGCGCUGCUGCACGGCGCCGGUGAUGGCCUCGCUCAGGGAGCGCUCCUCCUCGCCCGGGCGCAGCUUCUCGGCGAUGUAGGCUGUCACGCCGGUCACCCCCUUGUCCUGCCCGUUCCCCGGUCCACCCGCGCCAGGGGUGGCCGUCGCCCUUGUGGUGGCGCCGUCCUGCGCACCGACGCCUGGGGUGGCCGUGGCACUGGUGGUGGCGCCGUCCUGCGCGCCGACGCCAGGAAUAGCGGUGCCGGCCGAUUGUGUCACCUGCUGCGCCUUGCUCGCCACGGCCGUGCCCACGCCGGCGACCUUCUCGUACACCGUGCUAGCCAGCUUCUUGCCGUACUCCGUGGUGCCCGCCGCCGCGGACAUGAUCUUGUCGGUGUACGUCGCGCCAGGCGCGCCCUCCGUCGUCGCGUCCGUGGCCGCGUUCUUCAGCCCCUCCGCGCCCGCCGCGUCCGUGGCCGCGUUCU
rnacentral:lncRNA from 1 species